rnacentral:rRNA from 1 species
GGGGUGAAGUCGUAACAAGGUAACCGUAGGGGAACCUGCGGUUGGAUCACCUCCU